AAAUGGACUAGGUCGGGCAGUUAGGCCCUGCUCGUCACCCGCACUAUGGUCUUCAGCGGGGACCGAACGCCGGGCUCGUCCGGUCAGACCGGGCCGGGCCCCGGAAGCCGACGCAGAAGCCUCGUCCUGCGGGGACAGAGGUCUGCGGCGCGCGCUCGCAGGGGCGUCGUCGUCGCAGUUAACCGGUGGUAAUCCGUCAGGCACGGAAGUGAGCAGCGGACCGCCGGACAUCUGUCGCUCGUAGGGUUGCGGGGUGGAGAAGGCACCCGGGACUACCCGGCCCGGAACGCCGGGCAACCCCGGUCGUCCGCAU
rnacentral:SRP_RNA from 1 species